rnacentral:rRNA from 1 species
ACACUCCUACGGGAGGCAGCAGUGGGGAAUUUUGGACAAUGGGCGAAAGCCUGAUCCAGCAAUGCCGCGUGCAGGAUGAAGGCCUUCGGGUUGUAAACUGCUUUUGUACGGAACGAAAAAGCUCCUUCUAAUACAGGGGGCCCAUGACGGUACCGUAAGAAUAAGCACCGGCUAACUACGUGCCAGCAGCCGCGGUAAUACGUAGGGUGCGAGCGUUAAUCGGAAUUACUGGGCGUAAAGCGUGCGCAGGCGGUUAUGUAAGACAGAUGUGAAAUCCCCGGGCUCAACCUGGGAACUGCAUUUGUGACUGCAUGGCUAGAGUACGGUAGAGGGGGAUGGAAUUCCGCGUGUAGCAGUGAAAUGCGUAGAUAUGCGGAGGAACACCGAUGGCGAAGGCAAUCCCCUGGACCUGUACUGACGCUCAUGCACGAAAGCGUGGGGAGCAAACAGGAUUAGAACCCGUGUAGUCCCAUG